ACGAGUUUGAUCCUGGCUCAGAUUGAACGCUGGCGGAAUGCUUUACACAUGCAAGUCGAACGGUAGAGGGGGCAACCCCUUGAGAGUGGCGAACGGGUGAGUAAUAUAUCGGAACGUGCCCAGUCGUGGGGAUAACGUAGCGAAAGCUACGCUAAUACCGCAUACGAUCUACGGAUGAAAGCGGGGGAUCGCAAGACCUCGCGCGAUUGGAGCGGCCGAUAUCAGAUUAGGUAGUUGGUGAGGUAAAGGCUCACCAAGCCGACGAUCUGUAGCUGGUCUGAGAGGACGACCAGCCACACUGGGACUGAGACACGGCCCAGACUCCUACGGGAGGCAGCAGUGGGAAUUUUGGACAAUGGGCGCAAGCCUGAUCCAGCAAUGCCGCGUGCAGGAUGAAGGCCUUCGGGUUGUAAACUGCUUUUGUACGGAACGAAACGGUGAGCUCUAAUACAGUUUGCUAACGACGGUACCGUAAGAAUAAGCACCGGCUAACUACGUG
rnacentral:rRNA from 1 species